CCUACGGGGGGCAGCAGUGGGCAAUAUUGGGCAAUGGGCGCAAGCCUGACCCAGCAAUGCCGCGUGAAGGAAGAAGGCUUUCGGGUUGUAAACUUCUUUGACAGGGGAAGAGCAGAAGACGGUACCCUGAAAACAAGCCACGGCUAACUACGUGCCAGCAGCCGCGGUAAUACGGAGGUGGCAAGCGUUGUCCGGAUUUACUGGGUGUAAAGGGCGUGUAGCCGGGAAGGCAAGUCAGCUGUGAAAUCUGGAGGCUCAACCUCCAAAUUGCAUUUGAAACUGUUUUUCUUGAGUACAGGAGAGGCAGACGGAAUUCCUUGUGUAGCGGUGAAAUGCGUAGAUAUAAGGAGGAACACCAGUGGCGAAGGCGGUCUGCUGGACAGCAACUGACGGUGAGGCGCGAAAGCGUGGGGAGCAAACAGGAUUAGAUACCCCGGUAGUC
rnacentral:rRNA from 1 species